GUGCCAGCAGCCGCGGUAAUACGUAGGGAGCAAGCGUUGUCCGGAUUCACUGGGUGUAAAGGGUGCGCAGGCGGGAGAGUAAGUCAGAGGUGAAAUCUCACAGCUUAACUGUGAAACUGCCUUUGAUACUGCUUUUCUUGAGUUCGGGAGAGGUUGAUGGAAUUCCAGGUGUAGCGGUGAAAUGCGUAGAUAUCUGGAAGAACACCAGUGGCGAAGGCGGUCAACUGGCCCGUAACUGACGCUCAGGCACGAAAGCGUGGGUAGCGAACAGGAUUAGAUACCCUGGUAGUCC
rnacentral:rRNA from 1 species